CCUACGGGAGGCAGCAGUGGGGAAUCUUGCACAAUGGGGGAAAGCCUGAUGCAGCAACGCCGCGUGAAGGAAGACGGUUUUCGGAUUGUAAACUUCUGUUCUUAGUGAAGAAGAAUGACGUUAGCUAUGGAGCAAGCCCCGCCUACAUACGUGCCAGCAGCCGCGGUAAUCCGUAGGUGGCACGCGUUGACCGGAAUUCCUGGGUGUAAAGGGAGCGCAGGCGGGAAGCCAAGUCGGCUGUGAAAUCUACGGGCUUAACUUGUAGACUGCAGGUGAAACUGGUUUUCUUGAGAGAAGUAGAGGUUGGCGGAAUUCCGAGUGUAGCAGUGAAAUGCGUAGAUAUUAGGAGGAACACCGAUGGCGAAGGCAGCCAACUGGGCUGUAUCUGACGCUAAGGCUCGAAAGUGUAGGGAGCAAACAGGAUUAGAUACCCCUGUAGUC
rnacentral:rRNA from 1 species